AUGGCCACAUCAGCCCCGCUGCGCAGCCUAGAGGAGGAGGUGACAUGCUCCAUCUGCCUGGAUUACCUGCGGGACCCAGUGACCAUCGACUGUGGCCACGUAUUCUGCCGUGGCUGCACCACAGAUGUCCGGCCCGUGUCGGGGGGCCGCCCCGUCUGCCCACUCUGCAAGAAGCCGUUCAAGAAGGAGAACAUCCGGCCAGUGUGGCAGCUGGCCAGCCUAGUGGAGAACAUUGAGCGCCUCAAGGUAGACAAGACCCGGCAACCAGGAGACGUGGCCCGAGAGCCACCGGACGCCAGGCUAUGCGAGCGCCACCACGAGAAGCUGCACUACUACUGCGAGGAUGAUGGGAAGCUCCUGUGCGUCAUGUGCCGGGAGUCUCGGGAGCACCGGCCCCACAUGGCCGUCCUCGUGGACAAGGCCGCCCAGCCCCACCGGGAAGAAGUCCUGAGCCUCCUGAGCAUCCUGGGGAGAGACAGAGGCGAAAUUCAGUGUCCGGCCAAGGGAGAUUCGGAUAUCGUGUCUGCCCUGAAGAAGCUCCAGGACCAGCGGCAGUACGUGGUGGCUGAGUUCGAGCAAGGCCACCAGUUCCUGCAGGAGCGGGAGCGGCAUCUGCUGGAGCAGCUGGCCAAGCUGGAACAGGAGCUCACAGAAGGGCGGGAAAAGUUCAAGAGCCGGGGCGUCGGGGAGCUGGCCCGGCUGGCGCUGGUCAUCUCUGAGCUGGAGGGCAAGGCACAGCAGCCAGCUGCAGAGCUCCUGCAGGACACCAGGGACUUCCUGAACAGGUAUCCUCGGAAGAAGUUCUGGAUUGGGAAACCCAUUGCUCGGGUGCUUAAAAAGAAGACCAGCGAGUUCUCUGAUAAGCUUCUGUCCCUGCAGCGAGGCCUAAGGGAGUUCCAAGGGAAGCUGCUGAGAGACUUGGAAUACAAGACGGUGAGUGUGACCCUGGACCCGCAGUCAGCCAGCGGGUAUCUGCAGCUGUCCGAGGACUGGAAGUGUGUGACCUACAGCAGCCUGUACCAGAGUGCCUAUCUGUACCCCCAGCAAUUUGACUGCGAGCCAGGUGUGCUGGGCAGUAAGGGCUUCACCUGGGGCAAGGUGUACUGGGAGGUGGAGGUGGACAGGGAGGGCUGGUCGGAGGAGGAAGAGGAGGGCGAUGAGGAGGAAGAGGGAGAGGAGGAGGAGGAGGAGGAGGAGGAAGCCGGGUACGGGGAUGGCUAUGACGACUGGGAGACAGACGAGGAUGAGGAAUCGCUGGGGGAUGAGGAGGAGGAGGAGGAAGAGGAGGAGGAGGAGGAGGUUCUUGAGAGCUGCAUGGUGGGGGUGGCCAGAGACUCUGUGAAGAGGAAGGGGGAUGUCUCCCUGCGGCCGGAAGAUGGGGUGUGGGCGCUGCGCCUGUCCUCCGCGGGCAUCUGGGCCAACACGGAACCCGAGGCUGAACUCUUCCCCGCACUACGGCCCCGGCGGGUGGGCAUCGCCCUGGAUUACGAAGGGGGCACUGUGACGUUCACCAAUGCGGAGUCACAAGAACUUAUCUACACCUUCACGGCAACCUUCACUCGGCGUCUGGUUCCUUUCCUGUGGCUCAAGUGGCCAGGGACACGCCUCCUACUGCGACCCUGA
rnacentral:lncRNA from 12 species